rnacentral:lncRNA from 1 species
AAUACCCUUAAUUUCUUUAAACUGUAUUAAUUAUUUUUCCUAAGGUGAUGGAUGCGUAGUGUAUUAGAAUUUUGACUUGUAGCCAAAUUCUGACGAAGCACACCUUGGAAAAAAUGUAUCAUGCAUGGAAAGAGUGAAAUGCAUAUGAUUGACAGUGAUUGAGAAGUGUUGGGUAUAAAAUACCCACAGCCGAAGUCCUCAACAGAAUCAACGAUUCCGUCCACGAUGCCGACCCC